GUCCAGGGUAGCCUAGUGGACAUGGCAUCUGCCCGGUAAGCGGAACAUUGUGGGUUCGUUUCCCAUCCCCGGACA
rnacentral:tRNA from 1 species